rnacentral:rRNA from 1 species
GAUGAACGCUGGCGGCGUGCCUAAUACAUGCAAGUCGAGCGAACGGACGAGAAGCUUGCUUCUCUGAUGUUAGCGGCGGACGGGUGAGUAACACGUGGAUAACCUACCUAUAAGACUGGGAUCACUUCGGGAAACCGGAGCUAAUACCGGAUGAUAUUUUGAACCGCAUGGUUCAAAAGUGAAAGACGGUCUUGCUGUCACUUAUAGAUGGAUCCGCGCUGCAUUAGCUAGUUGGUAGGGUAACGGCUUACCAAGGCAACGAUGCAUAGCCGACCUGGUAGGGGGAUCGGCCACACGGGAACGGAGACACGGUCCAGACUCCUACGGGAGGCAGCAGUAGGGAAUCUUCCGCAAUGGGCGAAAGCCUGACGGAGCAACGCCGCGUGAGUGAUGAAGGUCUUCGGAUCGUAAAACUCGGUUAUUAGGGAAGAACAUAUGUGUAAGGAACUGUGCACAUCUUGACGGUACCUAAUCAGAAAGCCACGGCUAACUACGUG